rnacentral:rRNA from 1 species
GACGAACGCUGGCGGCGUGCCUAAUACAUGCAAGUCGAGCGAAUUGAUGGGAGCUUGCUCCCUGAUAUUAGCGGCAGACGGGUGAGUAACACGUGGGUAACCUGCCUGUAAGAUUGGGAUAACUCCGGGAAACCGGAGCUAAUACCGGAUAACAUUUCGAACCGCAUGGUUUGAAAUUGAAAGAUGGUUUCGGCUAUCACUUACAGAUGGACCCGCGGCGCAUUAGCUAGUUGGUGAGGUAACGGCUCACCAAGGCAACGAUGCGUAGCCGACCUGAGAGGGUGAGCGGCCACACUGGGACUGAGACACGGCCCAGACUCCUACGGGAGGCAGCAGUAGGGAAUCUUCCGCAAGGGACGAAAGUCUGACGGAGCGACGCCGCGUGAACGAUGAAGGCCUUCGGGUCGUAAAGUUCUGUUGUUAGGGAAGAACAAGUACCAGAGUAACUGCUGGUACCUUGACGGUACCUAACCAGAAAGCCACGGCUAACUACGUGCCAGCCGCCGCGGUAA